GGUGGUUCUAAGGUCUCAUCCAAGAUAGGAGUGAUCGAGUCCUUGUUGGAGAAGGUCGACAUCCUCAUUUUAGGAGGAGGAAUGAUUUUCACUUUCUACAAGGCUCAGGGCUUGCCUGUCGGUUCCUCUUUGGUGGAGGAAGACAAGCUUGAACUCGCAACGACACUUAUUGAGAAGGCCAAGGCGAAAGGAGUAUCUCUUCUGUUACCAACCGAUGUUAUCAUUGCCGACAAGUUCGCCCCUGAUGCAAAUAGCAAGGUGGUGCCCGCAUCAGCAAUUCCAGAUGGUUGGAUGGGACUAGAUAUCGGACCGGACUCAGUUAAGACAUUUAACGAGGUACUGGAGACAACAAAGACCGUCAUUUGGAACGGUCCGAUGGGAGUCUUUGAAUUUGACAAAUUCGCAGUUGGAACCGAGUCAGUCGCAAACAAGCUUGCUGAGCUUAGUGGAAAGGGUGUGACGACGAUCAUCGGAGGUGGAGAUUCUGUUGCAGCCGUUGAGAAGGUGGGAGUAGCGGACGUGAUGAGCCAUAUCUCGACAGGUGGUGGUGCGAGUUUAGAAUUGUUGGAAGGGAAGGAGCUUCCAGGCGUGCUUGCUCUGGAUGAAGCUGUUCCUGUAGCUGUGUGAGGCAAGUUCUGUUUAUGGAAUUUGCGGUUUUCUUGUGAUUCUUUUGGAUUGGGUGCCAAAUGUCUAGAAACAUGAGAGGAUCAUCAUGUUGUCGUUUCGGGGUAGACAAGAAGGAAUUGAUUUACUUGAGUCACCUUUCUUGUUUCUGCUGAAUACUUGCUCGAAAUAAAGCCUAGCUUCA
rnacentral:misc_RNA from 1 species